GUAACUUUCACUGCAUGUGAUGAAACUCACGUGAGUUCUCCCGACUUCAGGAGGCAAAUCUCUGAAUCCUGUACAGAAGCACCGAGGUCCUCAGUAUCCUCUGAUGUGAUGUCUCCUGCACUGGCACUGCUGCUUCUAGAAAUAAGUGAUGGAUAUUAUACGUAAUUUUCUAUUUCUCAGUCUGUGGAGAAUAAUUUUCACAUUUAAGUAUUUUCUGAUGAUUAUUGCCAAGAAAGGAACCUCUAAAACUUUUUUUCCGAAAAAAAAAAUCUUUGCUGUCCAUUGCAAGUGUCAGUGACUGCACAGCAAGAUACUUACAGCUGUGCUGCCCCCUGCUGUCCAUGUACAGGAGAACAGGCAGUGACAAAAGAGAGGGAGUCACUGACGCCGCUCACUUCUUCUUCAGUGAUGAUGUCGAAAACGCCAUCUUCCUGUUUGUCAUCCUCAUCCACUCCUGGAAAAUAAACAACAUCUCUAUGUUUAAAAAAUCA